GUGCCAGCAGCCGCGGUAAGACGAACCGUGCGAACGUUAUUCGGAAUCACUGGGCUUAAAGCGCGUGUAGGCGGAUGGGAACGUCGGUCUUUGAAAGCCCCCGGCUCAACCGGGGAAGUGGAGCCGAAACGACCGAUCUGGAGGGACGUAGGGGGACCUGGAACUUCCGGUGGAGCGGUGAAAUGCGUUGAGAUCGGAAGGAACGCCCGUGGCGAAAGCGAGGUCCUGGACGUCUGCUGACGCUGAGACGCGAAAGCUAGGGGAGCAAACGGGAUUAGAUACCCCGGUAGUCCUAGCCGUAAACGAUGGGCACUGGGUAGGGGGCUCGCCGAUGGGCUCUCUGCCGGAGCGAAAGCGUGAAGUGCCCCGCCUGGGGAGUAUGGUCGCAAGGCUGAA
rnacentral:rRNA from 1 species